rnacentral:rRNA from 1 species
CAGCCGUAAACAAUGUGCGUUAGGUGUGUCGGUAACCACGCGUUACUGAUGCGCCGAAGAGAAAUCGUGGAACGCACCACCUGGGAAGUACGGUCGCAAGGCUGAAACUUAAAGGAAUUGGCGGGGGAGCACCACAACAGGUGGAGCCUGCGGUUUAAUUGGAUUCAACGCCGGACAUCUCACCGGAUAAGACAGCUGAAUGAUUGUCAAUCUGAAGGUUUACAUGACUAGCUGAGAGGUGGUGCAUGGCGUCAGUGACU